UAUAUUAAAUAAAAAACUAUUUUUGGGGCCCUGUGCAAUGGAACCUGUCACACCCUUUAAAAACCGGCUCUGUCAAUAACAUAGGUGACUGCAUCAGCCCAAUAUGUCUUAAGCACAUAGCUACCAAUAGGAAGAGCAAGGGUAAUCUCAAAUAUGCCUAUUUUUUCGUUUGGCAACUCCAUUUUGCUGUGGGGUUUGAGGACACGUAGUUUCUUGAAGAAUGCCCUUUUCUGUAAAAAAAAAACUAAGAAAAAUCUUGUUUAAGAUACUCACCACCGUUGUCUAACCAAAGCACUUUAACAAGGAUUGAAUAUUGAGUAUUGACCAUGUGAUAUAAUUUUUUAAAGAUGUCAACCACAUCGCUUUUAUUUUUCACGAGUUACAACCAUGUUAUUCUAUUGCAAUUGUCAACAAAUGUUAGAAACCAACGCAGAUCAUGCUAAGUAGUAACCAGAGAUGGCCCCCACACAUCAUAAUGAAUUAACUCAAACGAAAUUGUUCUUUGAUUUAAACUUGGAGAAUAAGAAGCUUGAUGACCUUUAGCUAAUGUGCAAACAUUACACUUCAAUGAAGAAUUUGAAAUAUUACUAAAAGUAAUUUUCGUAAAUAACCAAAAGAGGCAUGAGCUAACCGACGAUGCCACAACUAAACGGUCUUAAACCUUUUAGUGUUACAACCUUGAACUUGAUGUACACUUCCUUAUACAACAUCAUCAACAUAGUACAACAUCCUUUGCUUAGUACCAUGCCUAAAUGAUUGCCUCAGUUCGGAUAUUUUGAAGUAAACAGUAAGACGGAAAUACAACAGAGUCUAAUUGCUCAAUGACAUGUCCCACAAAUAACAAAUGACUAGAGAGUGACGGAACAAGUAAGCCGUUGUUCUUGGACGAAAUCAAAUUCAAUGAAAGCUGCGGACCUAGAUUUUCUCGGUCCGAUUGUAUAUCAUCAUUGAGUAUUGCUGGUGGACUAAGCGGACCCAUGCCCAGUCUUCUACCAACGCCAUCAAUAAUGGCUGAAGAACCCAGCGGGCCCAUGCCCAGUCUGCUGACAAUAUUGGCACCAUCGCACCAGCCUUCAGUUUGCUUGGAGUGUGGGCUCCAGGCUCCGCAAGCCCAAAACAGCCCACGCUGUAUGUCAGCACAGCAAGCCCAAUGGUUGACCCCACGGCAGAAAUUGUUGCAUGGCUUUCUCCAUUGAAAAAGGAAACGGUGGUGUAGUUAUGCGGUUACGUUUCUAGGAUUAGGUUCAGGAUGAUCCUCUUGUUUCGAGAUCAUCUUCGGUUUUACUGAUGCGGUUACGUUUCUAGGAUUAGGUUCAGGAUGAUCCUCUUGUUUCGAGAUCAUCUUCGGUUUUACUGAUGCGGUUAGGUUCCUAGGAUUUAGGUUCAAGGUGAUUCUCUUGUUUCGAGAUCACCUUUGGUUUUACUGCAGGUUGCUGUUUUUCCAGCCAAUAAGAACUCAAAGUCGGCAACAAGGGUUAGGGUUUAGAGACACGUUGAAGUAAUUCUAGGGUUCCAAUAAUCUUCUAUAUAUUCUUCUCCAUCUUGGAGGUAAUAUAUAUACUCACAUCUCUUGUAGUACAAGUAGUAGUUAGUGACUCUAAUAAAUUUAGGGAAUAUAAUAAUAAUAAUAAUAUUCGUAAUCAAACUACUGACUCACACCAACAAUUUAUGCUUUUUAUUUGGGCUUUUAUUGGCCUUAUUCUUGUUGUGCCCGUCUUAGGCUUUAAGAGUUGAUCUUUCGUUCAAAAUAAAAAAGUACAUAGGUCAUCUUAUUCAACAGGACAUUAUAAAAUAUCAAUAUUCUAACAACAACCAAACCAACUCAUAAUGGCACUGGAUCGAUACAGAUUGAAGUAAUACUAUCUCUCGUCACCUUUCCCACACGUGUGAAUCCAUCUUCCCCUUUGUAAAGAAGAUCAGUUACUCUUGUUAAAUUGAGAACGCGCAUAAGAACAGACAUUGGCACAAAAGUUGGUCUAAG
rnacentral:lncRNA from 1 species